AUGGAGCGGACUGACUUGGGAAGUGAGCGGGUGACCCCAGCCUGGACCGCAGGUGGCGGGAGCUGUCCUGAGGGGGGAGGAGAGAGAGGAGAAGGGCCCCAGGAAGGAAAGCAGGCCACACCGCGGUGGGGACUUUGCUUGUGUGCCCCCUCCCCUCUUCGUAGCCAGCAAUUCCUGCCAGAAAGGCACCUGCCUCUCGGAACGGUAGGUCUCCCCUCAGACAAGAGGGGCAGAGGCCUCGAAGAUGAUGGGAAGGGGGCGCCACUGCCCAGGAAAAGGGGCAGAAUCAGAAUCUGUGCUUUGAGACUGAAAAGAAAAGCCUCCCCAAAUGCCAGCAAUCGGUGCAUCUCCAUCAUCAUAAUUUCUCGCCUUUCUUUUUCUGCAGAGAUCGGCAGCCUCUCCCCAGCAGGCUCAAGAGCCCUGGGGCCAUACAGACCCCUCCAGCCUGAAGCCUGGACACCUUGGCCUGGGAGGAAAGGCCUGGAGCGACAGCAUGGGGUCCCCAGCACAACGCUGGCACAACACCCUGCCCACAAUGACGGAAAAGCACCCCUACCCGGAAUGCCAGGUGAAACACAGCAAGCCCAGGGACACUUGAACGUCAGAUAAACGACAAAUAAUUGUUUAGCAUGAGUAUAUCCCAUACAAUACUGGGGACAUACUUAUACUAAAAUAUUAUCCUGUGUUUAUCUGAAAUCCACAUUGAACUGGCUUCCUUACUUUUAUUUGCUAAAUCUGGCAACUUUACCUACUCUCCUAAACACACACACACACACAACACACACACACACACACACAUACACACGGCUUAUAAAUGAUUUUUUCGUUAUCUCCAUCUUGGAUUUAACAGUCAAAGAUCAACAAACUACGGAGAAAGUUCUCUGAAGACGUGGGAAGGAAGGAUACAUCUUAGAAGGAAGAAAAGGCUGGACGCUACACUGAGGAAAGCAGAGAUGCUGGCAUGAAAGGCUCAGCAGAUGGGCAGCACCAGCAGGACAGGAGACCCUCCCAGAGAGGCAGCGUGUGACAGCGCAGAGCACGGGGGACAAAGGGACAGGCCCAGAAGUUUCCAGAGAGAACACAAGGUUCUGAUUGUGUUGAAAGGAUCAACCACAAUCUUGGAGGCAGGAAGAAAGGUUGCAGUGCCAUCAAAAUUCUGAGGGAAAUUAUUUCCAGCCUAGAGUUUAUCAGCCCAGCCAUCAAACUAUGCACAAUAAAGACACGCUCAGAAUCGCCA
rnacentral:lncRNA from 1 species